rnacentral:misc_RNA from 1 species
GAUGAAGAACGCAGCGAAAUGCGAUAAGUAAUGCGAAUUGCAGAAUUUCCGUGAGUCAUCGAAUCUUUGAACGCACAUUGCGCCCACUGGUAUUCUGGCGGGCAUGCCUGUCCGAGCGUCAUUUCAACCCUCAAGCCCCCGGGCUUGGUGUUGGGGAUCGGCGAGCCUCCGCGCCCGCCGUCCCCUAAAUCUAGUGGCGGUCUCGCUGUAGCUUCCUCUGCGUAGUAGCACACCUCGCACUGGGAAACAGCGCGGCCACGCCGUUAAACCCCCAACUUCUGAACGUUUGACCUCGGAUCAGGUAGGAAUACCCGCUGAACUUAAGCAUAUAAUAAGCGAGGA